AUCCAUCUGAUGAGUCCAAAAUAGGGCAUAAUGAGCAUCUUGGAU
rnacentral:hammerhead_ribozyme from 1 species